rnacentral:rRNA from 1 species
GUACAUAACGUUAUGUAAUUCAUUUAGAUAAAUAUUAUAAAUUACUUUUAAGUCCAUCUUUAAUUGUUUUUAAAACAAAUAUCCGCCUAAUAAAAUUUUAUUGUAACUCGCCAUUUCUUUAGAAUAGUCUGCACCUGGAUCUGUCUUUUUUUAAUUUUGAUAAUACAUUAUGUUUUAUCUGCCGACGACGGCAUACAAAAUUUAAUCUAAAGUUGAUUAACCUUGGUGGUUAUCAUUUAUUUGGUAAGUUCCCCUAAAUGUUAAAGUUACCGCCAUAUUAUUUAAGUUUUAACUUUGUAAGUUUUAGUACUUAAUAGAUAUAAUUGUGUAUUGAAUAGAAGGGUCUCUAAUCCUUGUUUUAGUUCAAUAUUUGAUUUAAGUAUAAAACUAAUAUGAUUCAUUUUUCUUUUGUAUUUCACCACCCCAAAAAUAUUUUAGUAUUAUCUAAUUCAAAAAAUUUUAUUUGUUAAGGUCUGACCGCGACUGCUGGCACCUUAUUUGUCACAAAAUUAUAAAGGUUUAAUCUUGCUUUCGCAAAUUUUAAAUUUUCCUAGCUGAAAUUCUCUAAUAAUCUCAUGAAUAGCCUAUAUAUAUUAAAUUUUUAACCAU